rnacentral:rRNA from 1 species
UACGUAGGGUGCAAGCGUUGUCCGGAAUUAUUGGGCGUAAAGAGCUCGUAGGCGGUUUGUCGCGUCAGCUGUGAAAACUCGAGGCUCAACCUCGAGACGUCGGUUGAAACCGUAAGGCUAGAGUCCGGAAGAGGAGAGUGGAAUUCCCGGUGUAGCGGUGAAAUGCGCAGAUAUCGGGAAGAACACCCGUGGCGAAGGCGGCUCUCUGGGACGGUACUGACGCUGAGACGCGAAAAGCGUGGGGGAGCGAACAGG